rnacentral:rRNA from 1 species
AGGGUUUGAUCAUGGCUCAGAUUGAACGCUGGCGGCAUGCCUUACACAUGCAAGUCGAACGGUAACAGGUCUUUCGGGAUGCUGACGAGUGGCGAACGGGUGAGUAAUACAUCGGAACGUGCCUAGUAGUGGGGGAUAACUACUCGAAAGAGUGGCUAAUACCGCAUGAGAUCUAUGGAUGAAAGCAGGGGACCUUCGGGCCUUGUGCUACUAGAGCGGCCGAUGGCAGAUUAGGUAGUUGGUGGGAUAAAAGCUUACCAAGCCUACGAUCUGUAGCUGGUCUGAGAGGACGAUCAGCCACACUGGGACUGAGACACGGCCCAGACCCCUACGGGAGGCAGCAGUGGGGAAUUUUGGACAAUGGGGGAAACCCUGAUCCAGCAAUGCCGCGUGCAGGAUGAAGGCCUUCGGGUUGUAAACUGCUUUUGUACGGAACGAAAAGUCUUGGGUUAAUACCCUGGGAUCAUGACGGUACCGUAAGAAUAAGCACCGGCUAACUACGUGCCAGCAGCCGCGGUAAUACGUAGGGUGCAAGCGUUAAUCGGAAUUACUGGGCGUAAAGCGUGCGCAGGCGGUUUUGUAAGACAGUGGUGAAAUCCCCGGGCUCAACCUGGGAACUGCCAUUGUGACUGCAAGGCUGGAGUGCGGCAGAGGGGGAUGGAAUUCCGCGUGUAGCAGUGAAAUGCGUAGAUAUGCGGAGGAACACCGAUGGCGAAGGCAAUCCCCUGGGCCUGCACUGACGCUCAUGCACGAAAGCGUGGGGAGCAAACAGGAUUAGAUACCCUGGUAGUCCACGCCCUAAACGAUGUCAACUGGUUGUUGGGAAUUUAUUUUCUCAGUAACGAAGCUAACGCGUGAAGUUGACCGCCUGGGGAGUACGGCCGCAAGGUUAAA